GAAAUGCGAUAAGUAAUGUGAAUUGCAGAAUUCAGUGAAUCAUCGAAUCUUUGAACGCACCUUGCGCUCCUUGGUAUUCCUUGGAGCAUGCCUGUUUGAGUAUCAUGAAAUCUUCAAAGUAAAUCUUUUGUUAACUCAAUUGGUUUCUACUUUGGUAUUGGAGGUCUUUGCAGCUUCACACCUGCUCCUCUUUGUUCAUUAGCUGGAUCUCAGUGUUAUGCUUGGUUCCACUCGGCGUGAUAAGUUAUCUAUCGCUGAGGACACUGUAAAAGGUGGCCAAGGUAAAUGCAGAUGAAACGAUGCUAAUAGUCCAUUGACUUGGACAAUACUUUUAUGAUCUGAUCUCGAAUCAGGUAGGACUACCCGCUGAACUUAAGC
rnacentral:misc_RNA from 1 species